rnacentral:rRNA from 1 species
GAUGAACGCUGGCGGCGUGCCUAAUACAUGCAAGUCGAGCGAACGGACGAGUAGGUUGCUUUUCUGAUGUUAGCGGCGGACGGGUGAGUAACACGUGGAUAACCUACCUAUAAGACUGGGAUAACUUCGGGAAACCUGAGCUAAUAUCGGCUAAUAUUUUGAACCGCAUGGUUCAAAAGUGAAAGACGGUCUUGCUGUCACUUAUAGAUGGAUCCGCGCUGCAGUAGCUAGUUGGUAAGGUAACGGCUUACCAAGGCAACGAUGCAUAGCCGACCUGCGAGGGGGAUCGGCCACACUGGAACUGGAACACGGUCCAGACGCCUACGGGAGGCAGCAGUAGGGAAUCUUCCGCAAUGGGCUAAAGCCUGACGGAGCAACGCCGCGUGAGUGAUGAAGGUCUUCGGAUCGUAAAACUCUGUUAUUAGUGAAGAACAUAUGUGUAAGGAACUGUGCACAUCUUGACGGUACCUAAUCAGAAAGCCACGGCUAACUACGUG